rnacentral:rRNA from 1 species
AGUGAACGCUGGCGGUAGGCCUAACACAUGCAAGUCGAACGGCAGCACAGUAAGAGCUUGCUCUUACGGGUGGCGAGUGGCGGACGGGUGAGGAAUACAUCGGAAUCUACUUUUUCGUGGGGGAUAACGUAGGGAAACUUACGCUAAUACCGCAUACGACCUACGGGUGAAAGCAGGGGAUCUUCGGACCUUGCGCGAUUGAAUGAGCCGAUGUCGGAUUAGCUAGUUGGCGGGGUAAAGGCCCACCAAGGCGACGAUCCGUAGCUGGUCCGAGAGGAUGAUCAGCCACACUGGAAAUGAGACACGGUCCAGACCCCUAAGGGAGGCAGCAGUGGGGAAUAUUGGACAAUGGGGGAAAACCUGAUCCAGCCAUGCCGGGUGGGUGAAGAAGGGCUUCGGGUUGUAAAGCCCUUUUUUUGGGGAAGAAAAAAAGAGGGUUAAAACCCCGCCGUUUUGACGGGACCCAAAAAAAAAGCCACGGCUAACUUCGUG